GAGGGUUCUCCGUGUGGCGCCCUCAAUCAAACUGGGCAUCGAGAUUCCUAGGGAGGGGAAUAGUGGCUUCAAAACAGAAGGCAGCGGCGCGUAACACAGAGCCGACUUACGCGGGAGUAGCCGGUAAAGUGACGGCACAGAUCGAAGCGUGUCCUGUUGUGAAUUUUUUUAGAAGUAGAGUUUCCUUGAUGAAAGCGACUCUGUUGUUGGCGUGUGGCAAAAUAAUUGAGAAACAGCUUGUGUGCAAGUGUUCGUUUCUCAAAUGGACGAUGCUGUCACUCUGCGUCAUGCACGUCAACGGGUCGUCAUGAACAGAUUCAUGAGGUGUCAUUCCAAAAAAUCUGAACCCUGCCUAGGUCUGUUGUUUUUAGACAUCCCUUCUUAAAGUGAUGCGAGGAAAGAAGAGAUCGCGUUAGUUCUUGGUAAGACGACGUCGGAACCCCC
rnacentral:lncRNA from 1 species